GUCUGAAUGAUCAAACCAUUUCUCACAAACAGUUUAUUGUAGAAGCGCGGGCUUUAAUCUAACUAGAGAGCCUGUUCGCAGGAGAAGUGAACCGUCCACUCUAUACAUCUUUGUUCCUAAAUUACCUCUUGUCGACAGCAUAUGGCGACUACUGUUUCAGUAGACGCAAAAAAUAACUUACAUAAUUUGAAAGCUUGCAAAAAACUACGUAUAAGACAUUUAAACUGUUACCAGGGUUUUCAAGUUCUUCUUGAGUUAUGAACCGUUGAAAGCGUGUUUUCAGACUAGUACCCAGGAUUUUUGGCUUAUUUUUCACAUUUGGAACAGCAAUAACUCGAAAACCACUUGAAAAUCCCAGCUAACCAUUUAAAUGUCUUAUAUGUAGUUUUGUGUAAGCUUUCUAUUGAUGCAAGUCAUUUGUAUAUUAGAAAUGUAUCUGAAUUUUUUAACUGUAAUAGAGUUAGCUGCGUAUAAUGCUCGAACCACCGCGUACAAUGGCGAAAGCACCACGUAUAAUGGUGAAAGCACCGCGUAUAAUGCCGAAAGCACCCAACAAAAUGCCGUUUGAUCACUUAAAACAGCUAUGGCUUUCCAUAGGCUCACAUUUCGCUUAAAUUAGACUGACAAUAGGAAACGAGGAAAGGGAGGAAACAUUCAUUGGGGUGAUAUUUUAGGAUGGCUAUAACUUGCUUAAUAUUUCAUAAAAGAACACAAUUUUUUGUAUACAAUCUAGAAAUUGUC